rnacentral:lncRNA from 1 species
UAGCGAGUCCCAAGAAAAGCCACCAGAAUCACCUACGCUCAGAGGAAUUUCUUGAACUAUCAUGCUCGCUAGGCGAAGCCCACGUGUUUAAAAAAAAACGAAAAACGAAAAAAAAAGAAGAACGAAAAACGAAAAAAAAGAAAAAAUAAUAAUAAUAAAAAUAAAUAAAUAAAAAAGAUAUAACAAAAUUUUUUUGGACUUGGGCCUCUCUCAUUUGAGCCCACAGGUCCACAAAAAUCAGGUUAUAAAUUCAGAGUUUCAGUGAAACAAAAGGAUUCUAUUCCUAUUACCCU